rnacentral:lncRNA from 1 species
UGCCCGCCCUGCGGCUUCCGACUGCAGGGUCCCGCCCCGCGGCUUCCGGUGCGUCACCACGGACCCGCCCCGCGGUUUCCGGGUUCCCGAAGCGCUGCAACUACUUCAGAGAAAUGUGACAGAAGAAGUUGACGGAACACUCUCGAGUCAGUCACCCAAUAGGAAACAAACACACUCUCUCACAGUACCCAAGACAUGGAAGUAACCUAAAGUGUCCAUCGACAGAGGAAUGGAUAAAGAAGAUGUGGUGCCUGAGUCCUCAGGUACCAGCCUGGGCAGCCACACCUGUGCUCAGAAACUACCUUGGACCAUGGGGAUGAGGCUGACCUUCCUGCUGGGGGUAAGGCGGCUCCAGCUGUUGGGAGGCUCCCCUGAGGGGGCAGCUCAGGACUUGGGUGGGCAGAGCUCUAAUCCUGGACUUCCUGCCUUUAAGGAUGGCCUCUUAUGGAUGUUGCAUGCUCCUCCCCGCCCCAUUUUGGGACAAACACCUCACAGGCACCUGUCCCUGCACUGCACUGAGGGUGAGCCCCUCCCUGCUUUCAGAACCCACGAGCAUUGAGCCAUCACACGAGGAUGGAACCCUCAUUAUAUUCAUUCAGCUCACAUUCCCCGAGAACCAAACUUCACUUGCAGCUGUUAAGUAACUUCCAUCUUGGUGUUGAAUGACAAGGUUCAGGAAAAAUAUCUCUAGGGUAUACCUGCGGGGGGGAAGGACCUCUGUCGACAUCCUGAGGGUGCACUAUUUCCCAAGGGGCUCUGGGUACUGAGCACAUGUUCUGGAACUUCCAGUGUUUCAGCCUUUCUGCAGGCUGAGAAUCAUUUGGUGGAAACCCCUGUCUUAUUUCCGUAUCAGGUCUACAACCUGUGUAAAGGAGGAAUUCUCCAGUGGUGCAGUGGGUUAAGGAUUGGGCAUUGUCACUGUUGUGGCCUGGAUUCAACCCCUGGCCAAAAAAAUCCCAAAAAAUCUGUGUAAAGGAAUCAGCUCCAGAACCUGGUGGUAGCAAUGGUUUUUAAUUAGCUUAUAAUUGUGUAAGGACUUCCGAUGACUUUAUUCAGUGUACAAUUUAGUGAGUUCCCUGGUGGCCUAUUGGUUAGGACGUGGUGCUUUUCACCUCUGUGCCAAAAAAAGAAAAAAGAAAAAAAGACAAUUUCGGGCAGAGCAGCUCUUGCUGUGACCCUGCUCAUUGGGUCCCAAGAGACGGGUGUGCCCCCCACAACUGGUCAGUGGCCUGAGAACCAGCCACCUGGAGACACGUGGACUCAAGACUUCUCAGACUCGGGCAUGGGGGGCUCACUUUCCCACCUGACUGGACCUUGAGCAGCAUCCAAACACACUGAACUGAGCUGGAAGGCCAAGCUUGGUCCUAGAGCUGAAAGCUCCAGGCCUUUGCCCCAGCCCAACCGUGGCCUCUAAGUAGGAGGCACUGAAAGUAGGACGCACGGAGACCAAAUUUAACCCACACUAACAUUUUAAUGCUCUUUAAACACUCAAUUAAAUCAUUUUUGGAGUUCCUGUCGUGGCCCAGUGGUUAGCGAAUCCGACUAGGAACCAUGAGGUUGUGGGUUCGAUCCCUGGCCUCGCUCAGCCAGUUAAAAGAUCUGGUGUUGGCGAAGCAGAAACGAAUACAACUAGGAACCAUGAGGUUGUAGGUUCGAUCCCUGGCCUCGCUCAGCCAGUUAAAAGAUCUGGUGUUGGCGAAGCAGAAACGAAUACAACUAGGAACCAUGAGGUUGUGGGUUCGAUCCCUGGCCUCGCUCAGUCAGUUAAAGAUCUGGUGUUGCUGUGAGANGAGAGUUCCCGUUGUGGCGAAGCAGAAACGAAUACAACUAGGAACCAUGAGGUUGUAGGUUCGAUCCCUGGCCUCGCUCAGCCAGUUAAAAGAUCUGGUGUNAGAACCUCCACAUGCCACAGGUGCAGCCCUAAAAAGCACCUCCCCCCAAAAAAAGGCCAAUUCAGAUCUCCUUUGCAGCAGGUUAGGGAUCCAACACUGUCACUAUGGAGGCUUGGGUCAUUGCUAUGGUGUANCCUAAAAAGCACCUCCCCCCAAAAAAAGGCCAAUUCAGAUCUCCUUUGCAGCAGGUUAGGAAUCCAAUACUGUCACUAUGGAGGCUUGGGUCAUUGCUAUGGUGUGGGUUUGAUCCCUGGCCUGGGAACUUCCAUGUGUUGAGGGUAUAGCCAAAAAACAAUCAAAGCCUUUGUCAAACUCCAGUGACUUCUGUGUUGCAGGGGUUACUUACCACAGCAGCAUUUCCACCCAAGAUUUUAGCCUAUGGUGGUUUUAGGAGAAUGACUGCUAGGAAUGAGGUAAUUUUUGAAUAAAAUGAAAUUUAUUCUAUUUUAGUUCUUUUAU